rnacentral:piRNA from 1 species
UGUAAACUACUGUUUUAUGGCUGCUCCAU